GUGUAGCUCAGUGGUAGAGCAGGUGCUUAGCAUGCAUGAGGCCCUGAGUCUGAUUCCCAGCAC
rnacentral:tRNA from 1 species